UUUUAUUAACACUGUUGCACGACGUCACGAAACGUAUUAAAAUAAUCGAUAUCAUGCUAACACGGCCUCUCCUGACCGUGCGCCGUCCCCGGUGCACAUUUUCACCACGAACGCCGUCGGUGGACGCUGAUAAGGACUCGAGCUCGCCGUCUCCAGGGAGAACUCCUGGGGAAGCAGUAGCGGGAGCCGUCGAAGGCCCAAGCUGAGCAUUGUCACAUUCAUCGUCUGUAGCAGACUCUGGCAGAAGGAAAAUAUCCUGGCUGAAGAACCUCCGUGAAUGGUUUAAUCUAAGUACUCUCUCUCUCUUCCGUGCUGCAGCUUCGAAGAUUAAGAUAGCCAUGAUGGUCGCCAACCUUCGUAGAGAAGAGGCACCGUAAGAAGAAGAAGAUCAACGGACAGAGGCAGUGUUACGCGAUAUCCACUAUGUGAUCAACGGACAGAGGCAGUAUUACGCGAUAUUCAUCGUGUGAUCCAGGGACAGAGGCAGUAUUACGCGAUAUCCACUAUGUGAUCCAGGGACAGAGGCAGUAUUACGCGAUAUCCACUAUGUGAUCCAGGGACAGAGGCAGUAUUACGCAAUACCCAUCACAAGACGCAGACAGAGGCAGUAUUACGCUUGUCUCAAAUAACAAAACGGUAAUUUUGUCACGUCGUGCCAGCAACGUGCAGGUGCCAUCGCACGUGUACAGCUCCGCACCACACCGCACCCAUAUACGGAGCCACCACACACAUGACUACGCCGACACGCGUGACCACACGUGAAGGCAUCUCACAUACCACACGAUUCAUGUACAUUGCUUUCUCUUCCC
rnacentral:misc_RNA from 1 species